rnacentral:rRNA from 1 species
CCACCGGAGCUUGCUCCACCGGAAAAAGAGGAGUGGCGAACGGGUGAGUAACACGUGGGUAACCUGCCCAUCAGAAGGGGAUAACACUUGGAAACAGGUGCUAAUACCGUAUAACAAUCGAAACCGCAUGGUUUUGAUUUGAAAGGCGCUUUCGGGUGUCGCUGAUGGAUGGACCCGCGGUGCAUUAGCUAGUUGGUGAGGUAACGGCUCACCAAGGCCACGAUGCAUAGCCGACCUGAGAGGGUGAUCGGCCACAUUGGGACUGAGACACGGCCCAAACUCCUACGGGAGGCAGCAGUAGGGAAUCUUCGGCAAUGGACGAAAGUCUGACCGAGCAACGCCGCGUGAGUGAAGAAGGUUUUCGGAUCGUAAAACUCUGUUGUUAGAGAAGAACAAGGAUGAGAGUAACUGUUCAUCCCUUGACGGUAUCUAACCAGAAAGCCACGGCUAACUACGUGCCAGCAGCCGCGGUAAUACGUAGGUGGCAAGCGUUGUCCGGAUUUAUUGGGCGUAAAGCGAGCGCAGGCGGUUUCUUAAGUCUGAUGUGAAAGCCCCCGGCUCAA